UACGUAGGGUGCGAGCGUUAAUCGGAAUACUGGCGUAAAGCGUGCGCAGGCGGUUAUUUAAGUCAGGUGUGAAAGCCCUGGCUUAACCUAGGAAUUGCGCUUGAGACUGGAUAGCUUGGAGUGCGGCAGAGGUAGGUGGAAUUCCACGUGUAGGCAGUGAAAUGCGUAGAGAUGAUGGAGGAACACCGAUGGCGAAGGCAGCCUCCUGGGCCAGCACUGACGCUCAUGCACGAAAGCGUGG
rnacentral:rRNA from 1 species